CAAUCCUCAAAAAUCCACUUCUGUUCUGGCACAGCCAAGGGACAUCUUACAUUGUCACCUUCACCUCCACAAUGAUACUUGUGACGAGACCAAUCUCGCCACUGUGCAUUGGAGGAGCCUGGUUGCCCGCCUGCUGCCUUUAGUCUAUGGCCCCAUGUUGAAACACUUGAUUUUCUCCUGCGAAGACACAAAAGCUGGGUCAUUCGGUGUGUGCCCUGUUUGAGCGGUGAUACCCCAGAUAGCUAUGCCAUGGAGCCCAUUGGUAUAAUGAAAGACUAUGGGAAAGACUUUGGCUCCAUGGCAAUUGAACUGUAUGUGUGUGCUCUGAGCGCCAUUCUGUAAUAAUGUGCGCUCAGAUCUGAGCUAUCUGGGGAUAUGUUGAAUGUACCUGUUUUGUGCAAUGGCUGCACAGUUAUAUAUUUUUAUUUGUUUUAUUGUCUUUUGCUGCCAUGUGUUCAAUGGAGUUUUGCCUCUGUCCUUUGAGAUAAUUGGAUUACUUCCCAAUUAUCUCCAGGAUAGAAGACUCUGUGGAACUGGUUUUGGGCAGAAAAGCCAUGCUUCAUUUGGUCACAAAGGACUUCGAUCUAUCUUUUGAAUCACUGGACCAAUUUGGAUGAUUUUGACAUAUGUUUGUAUUUGGAGUAUGCUGAUUCUGAUGUAAUGUAAGUUUUAUGUGAAUGUGAUGCAUACUUUUCAAGUUAUGAAUAAUGUGGAAAAACUGUAUUUCUCUGCCAGUGAUAAUUACAUUACCCAUUGUGUAAGGUAAUUGUAUCACAGGCAGAGGGGAGGAUUUUGUGUGGGAGUGUCUAAGUGUAUUGUAUGUGUUAAUUGGUUGUUUUCCAAAACCUUGUGGGUGGUACUAAUGUGUAUAUAAGAACAAUAAACCCGCAGCUCUGUCUGUUCCUGCUUGACCCUCAAAACGGAGCCUUGUCUCGUUCUUGGGGGGAUUUAUUGUAUGCUGUUCCAGUUUGACUGCUAGGAGUGUAAACCUAUUCAUAUGGUUUUUCCUAUUCAGCUGUUUACAACAUUUGUAUGCUUCUCCGGUUCGGUGGAUUGGUGUUCUACAGUAGCUGUGCCUGUGUCUCUGGAAGGGAAGAUCUACUAAAUGGUGGUUUAACCCCUUUUUGCUCGGGGUGCCGUUACAAUACUAGAUGCAAAUUUGGAGAGAGUCUUUAGUAAAAGCCAUUGUUUUAAUGAUAGAGAAGGGCUUCACCCCUGCACAGAAGUAUCAGAAAACUAUCAGUUUUCAAACACUAUCCAGACAGAAGUAGCAUGUAUAUGGCUGAAGGGUCCUGUCAUAUAGGUAGGGAUGAG